AUUUAGAGGAAGGAGAAGUCGUAACAAGGUUUCCGUAGGUGAACCUGCGGAAGGAUCAUUGUCGAUGCCUAAACAUCAAACGACCCGCGAACGUGUUUUUACAAACCUUCCGCGCCGGGGGGGGGCUGACGCAACCCCCACUCGGGUGCGUUGCGCGGGCGGGGGCACAAACUGGCCUCCCGUGCGCACCGUCGCGCGGAUGGCUUAAAUUCGAGUCCCCGGCGCCUGUCGUCGCGACACUACGGUGGUUGAUCCGACCUCGGUACCGCGUCGCGACCUCGGCCCGCGCACCUCCUCCCUGCGAGCGAGCGAGCGAGCAAGGGACUCCCCUGUCGACCCUAUGAACGUCGUCCCCAAAGACGAUGCUCUCGACGCGACCCCAGGUCAGGCGGGAUUACCCGCU
rnacentral:misc_RNA from 1 species